rnacentral:rRNA from 2 species
CGACGCGUCUUGGUUAUUGAUGUUAAGUGCUUGCAUUUAACUGAUUUAACAUUGAGACGAGUGGCGAACUGGUGAGUAACACGUGGGUAACCUGCCCUUGAAGUAGGGGAUAACACUUGGAAACAGGUGCUAAUACCGUAUAACAACCAAAACCACCUGGUUUUGGUUUAAAAGAUGGCUUCGGCUAUCACUUUAGGAUGGACCCGCGGCGUAUUAGCUUGUUGGUAAGGUAACGGCCUACCAAGGCAAUGAUACGUAGCCGACCUGAGAGGGUAAUCGGCCACAUUGGGACUGAGACACGGCCCAAACUCCUACGGGAGGCAGCAGUAGGGAAUCUUCCACAAUGGACGAAAGUCUGAUGGAGCAACGCCGCGUGAGUGAUGAAGGGUUUCGGCUCGUAAAACUCUGUUGUUGGAGAAGAACAGGUGUGAGAGUAACUGUUCACAUCUUGACGGUAUCCAACCAGAAAGCCACGGCUAACUACGUGCCAGCAGCCGCGGUAAUACGUAGGUGGCAAGCGUUGUCCGGAUUUAUUGGGCGUAAAGCGAGCGCAGGCGGUUUCUUAGGUCUGAUGUGAAAGCCUUCGGCUUAACCGGAGAAGUGCAUCGGAAACCAGGAGACUUGAGUGCAGAAGAGGACAGUGGAACUCC